UGGGGAAUAUUGCACAAUGGGCGCAAGCCUGAUGCAGCCAUGCCGCGUGUAUGAAGAAGGCCUUCGGGUUGUAAAGUACUUUCAGCGGGGAGGAAGGCGAUAAGGUUAAUAACCUUGUCGAUUGACGUUACCCGCAGAAGAAGCACCGGCUAACUCCGUGCCAGCAGCCGCGGUAAUACGGAGGGUGCAAGCGUGAAUCGGAAUUACUGGGCGUAAAGCGCACGCAGGCUGUCUGUCAAUUCGGAUGUGAAAUCCCCGGGCUCAACCUGGGAACUGCAUUCGAAACUGGCAGGCUAGAGUCUUGUAGAGGGGGGUAGAAUUCCAGGUGUAGCGGUGAAAUGCGUAGAGAUCUGGAGGAAUACCGGUGGCGAAGGCGGCCCCCUGGACAAAGACUGACGCUCAGGUGCGAAAGCGUGGGGAGCAAACA
rnacentral:rRNA from 1 species